UCUAACAAUGUUUCAGGUGGUUAAGGCGAUAGACUCGAACGCUUUACGCAUUUGUGGUAUCUAUUGGGUUCGCCCGCACAGGUUCAAAUCCUGUGGUUGUCGGAA